rnacentral:rRNA from 1 species
GACGAACGCUGGCGGCGUGCUUAACACAUGCAAGUCGAACGGAAAGGCCCUGCUUUUGUGGGGUGCUCGAGUGGCGAACGGGUGAGUAACACGUGAGUAACCUGCUCUUGACUUUGGGAUAACUUCAGGAAACUGGGGCUACUACCGGAUAGGAGCCCCCGCUGCAUGGUGGGGGUUGGAAAGUUUCGGCGGUUGGGGAUGGACUGGCGGCUUAUCGGCUUGUUGGUGGGGUAGUGGCUUACCAAGGCUUUGACGGGUAGCCGGCCUGAGAGGGUGACCGGCCACAUUGGGACUGAGAGACGGCCCAGACUCCUACGGGAGGCAGCAGUGGGGAAUAUUGCACAAUGGGCGGAAGCCUGAGGCAGCAACGCCGCGUGCGGGAUGACGGCCUUCGGGUUGUAAACCGCUUUCGCCUGUGACGAAGCGUGAGUGACGGUAAUGGGUAAAGAAGCACCGGCUAACUACGUG